CAGUCGCCGCGGGAAUACGAAGGGGGCUAGCGUUGCUCGGAAUGACUGGGCGUAAAGGGCGCGUAGGCGGCGAUCAAAGUCAGGCGUGAAAUUCCUGGGCUCAACCUGGGGGCUGCGCUUGAUACUUGGUUGCUUGAGUGGGGAAGAGGGUCGUGGAAUUCCCAGUGUAGAGGUGAAAUUCGUAGAUAUGCGGAGGAACACCGAUGGCGAAGGCAAUCCCCUGGACCUGUACUGACGCUCAUGCACGAAAGCGUGGGGAGCAAACAGGAUUAGAUACCCGCGUAGUCCCUGUCUCUUAUAC
rnacentral:rRNA from 1 species